UACGGCCAUAUCUCGUAAAAACAUCUGUUCUCGUAUAAUCACCGAAGUUAAGCAAUGUCGAGCCUGGUCUGUACUUAAAUGGGUGACUUCUUGCGAAUAUCAGGUGCUAUA